AUGCAGCGGGCGCUGGAUACAAUCGACGUAGGCAACCUGCGGUGGGAUCCACCCGAGGCGCGAGAGGAUCCGGGGCCGGUCGAUCUAGCCGCCAGGAGAUCUGCCAGCAAGCUUCUAAUCACGCAUAGACAGAGAUUGAUGAGGAUGCAGUGCGCGGAGCAGCCGUUUCUACAGAACAUUAAUGCAUUAAUGGAGUGGGGUUGCGCCUCAAAACGGAUGGUGGAGGUCAGGGUGUUUCUGGUGUUAUUUUUGUUCCUGAAUUCUAAAAGUGAGGAUCCCAAUGGCUGCUCAAAGAAAAACAAUACGUAUAGGACACAGGAGCAUGGGCUCCUCAAUGCGUACGGUAGCGCCGCCGCGCGCCCGUUCCUCUCUGGCGCCGCCGCCGCCGCUGCCACCGCCCUGCUCUCGUUCCCCUCCCUAUCCAUCUCAAUCUUCUCCGGUGCCACCACGAUCUUCAACCUCCUGCCGCCAUUUGAGAGUGACUUGGCUGCCAUUAGAAGGAGCCCUCUACCGGAAUCUCCAUUAAAUCGCAUCAUAUCGCAACUUUUGAAGAGUCGUCCAGGAUCGUCUCAGCCGAGUUCGCCGGAAGAAAAUCCGCCGCCCAAGCGUACUACACCUGAGCCUGAAGAACAUCCCCUGCCGAACAUGCUACCCCAGAGGGAGGAGUGGGAAUGCGGUGUUCAUGAAAUUGAGUAUCUCAGAAGAGGUUUGGCACUUAUUUUCCUCAACCUGUUAUUCUUCAAAUGUGCUUCCCAUGGAUUUGAUCAACUUGGUGAGAUAAUGUUAUGUGUCAGUAUCAACCCAACAACCUUCGUGUACGGGUCCAUUGGCCUGCGUACCACACAUCCCUUCAUUAAUUCCAUCAGUAUCAUUCUUAACAAGAUGAUAUAUAAGAGGAAGCUAUUCGACAAUCCUGCUCAAGUUGGAAAGGCGGCCAAGCAGCUCGUGGCAUCUAUGUCACGCCUGCUCUGCCACUGCCUUGACCCGCCGCCGACGUCGCCGGUUGAGCCGCAAGGUUGCAAGAUCAUCGUGGGGCCCAUUGCAUGGGCUCCGAGUAUGCUUGAUUGCCAUGUCGGAGGCGAAGGCAUUAUCACAUCAGAACUGUCAAGAGGGACAAACAAGGGACUGGCUCAUGAACUAGCCAAUGACGCUAAAGCUCAUGGAGACCUUGUGGUUGCGUAUGGUGUCCCAGACCAACUCCAUGAUCAGCUCUGGAAGGAAAACAAUGCAGCCUUGACGUCGGCCUAA
rnacentral:rRNA from 1 species